GGCCGCGGGAAUUCGAUUCAGGCCUAACACAUGCAAGUCGAGCGAAUGAAGAAGAAGCUUGCUUCUUUCUGAUUUAGCGGCGGACGGGUGAGUAACACGUGGGCAACCUGCCCUGUAGAUUGGGAUAACUCCGGGAAACCGGGGCUAAUACCGAAUAAUCCUUUUCCUCUCAUGAGGAGAUGUUAAAAGACGGUUUCGGCUGUCACUACAGGAUGGGCCCGCGGCGCAUUAGCUAGUUGGUAGGGUAACGGCCUACCAAGGCAACGAUGCGUAGCCGACCUGAGAGGGUGAUCGGCCACACUGGGACUGAGACACGGCCCAGACUCCUACGGGAGGCAGCAGUAGGGAAUCUUCCACAAUGGACGAAAGUCUGA
rnacentral:rRNA from 1 species